GUGCUCGCUUUGGCAGCACAUACACUAAAAUUGGAACGAUACAGAGAAGAGUAGCUUGGCCCCAGCACAAAGAUGACACGCACAUUCGUGAAGCCUUCCAUGUUUUU